rnacentral:rRNA from 1 species
UACGUAGGUGGCAAGCGUUGUCCGGAUUUACUGGGCGUAAAGGGCGUGCAGGCGGUCUGUUAAGUCUAGGGUGAAAGCUCCCGGCUCAACUGGGAGAGGUCCUUGGAUACUGGCGGACUUGAGGGAUGCAGAGGAAAGUGGAAUUCCCGGUGUAGUGGUGAUAUGCGUAGAUAUCGGGAGGAACACCAGUGGCGAAGGCGGCUUUCUGGGCAUUUCCUGACGCUGAGGCUCGAAAGCGUGGGGAUCAAACAGG